AACGAACGCUGGCGGCAUGCCUAACACAUGCAAGUCGAACGAGACCUUCGGGUCUAGUGGCGCACGGGGGCGUAACGCGUGGGAACCUGCCCUUAGGUUCGGAAUAACUCCCCGAAAGGGGUGCUAAUACCGGAUAAUGUCUUCGGACCAAAGAUUUAUCGCCUUUGGAUGGGCUCGCGUUGGAUUAGCUAGUUGGUAGGGUAAAAGCCUACCAAGGGGACGAUCCAUAGCUGGGCUGAGAGGAUGAUCAGCCACACUGGGACUGAGACACGGCCCAGAAUCCUACGGGAGGCAGCAGUGGGGAAUAUUGGACAAUGGGCGAAAGCCUGAUCCAGCAAUGCCGCGAGAGUGAUGAAGGCCUUAGGGUUGUAAAGCUCUUUUACCCGGGAUGAUAAUGACAGUACCGGGAGAAUAAGCACCGGCUAACUCCGUG
rnacentral:rRNA from 1 species